rnacentral:sRNA from 1 species
GCAUCUAACUACCAUACAAGUUCAGACCAAUGGAAGAAAAAAGCCCUAAAAAUUGAACUGAAUGAAUCCCAAAAGCAAGACGUUAAAGACGCCUUUAAUUUGUUUGAUAUUGAUGGGUCUGGAACCAUCGAGUAAAAGAAGAUUGCAGUGUGGGCCUUAGGAUUUGAACCAAAGAAAGAAGAAAUUUAAAAAAUGGUAGCUGAAGUUGAUAAAGAAGGAAUUGGCACCAUUAGUUUUGAAGAUUUUUGUUUAGUAAAAAAGAUGAAAAAGAAGAAAUAUUGAUGCCUUUCAAAUUAUUUGAUGAUGAUGAUACUGGAAGUGUAACACUAACCAGUAUCAAGAGGUUUGCUAAGAAACUAGGGGAAAAUUUAAUUUUACAGGAAAUGCUUGAUGAAGCUGAUCAUGAUGGAGAUGGAGAAAUAAAUGAGGAAGAUUUUUUGAGAGUGAUGAAAAAGACUACUUGUUAUU